rnacentral:rRNA from 1 species
GAUGAACGCUGGCGGCGUGCUUAACACAUGCAAGUCGAACGGAAAGGCGCUGCUUUUGCGGGGUGCUCGAGUGGCGCACGGGUGUGUGAAACGCGAGUAACCCGCACUUGACUUAGGGAUAACUCUAGGAAAAUCGGGCGAAUACAGGAUAGGAGCUCUUGAUCCGCGGGGGGGGUUGGAAAGAUUCGGUGGUUGGGGCUGGUCUCGCGGGUUAUCAGCUUCUUUGUGGGGUAGGGGCAUCCCAAGGCUUCGACGGGUAGCCCGCCUGGGAGGGGUACCGGCCACCUGACGACUGCGGGACGGCCCAGACGGCAACGGGAGGCAGCGGUGGGAAAUAUUGCACAAUGGGCGGAAGCCUGAUGCAGCAACGCCGCGAGCGGGAUGACGGCCUUCGGGUUGUAAACCGCUUUCGCCUUUGACGAACCGGUAGUGACGGUAACGGGUAAAGAAGCACCGGCUAACUACGUG